rnacentral:lncRNA from 1 species
AACUCAAAGACAAACUGUCUCUGUGCACUGGAGGAAAUUGUCACUUGGUUUAUAUUUCUUUGUGGGUCUGUGACUGCAGGAUUUUCAGAGGAUUUUGGAGUACAGAGGCACUGACAUCUCUUUAAAAAGGAGUGGGAACGCAGCCCCUAAGUCUCCCAGGACCCUGUCUGAAACCGUGGGAUGGCAGGUGGUGUGAAAGGACCAGGGGGAACACAAACCAGUUCAGUUUGUCCUGCCAAAUGGCCUGGCCCCAAGUCUUGCCUUUCUGCUUGGGUGUGCUUCAGUGAGCAGCUCUCUACAGACACAGACAGGCGAGGAGGAUCAGCUUGGCAGAUGCUGCCUGUGGUUGUACUCACCUUUCCACAGAGGUUGAGAGGCUGCUGCUCUUCAGGACAGAAUCUUCAUCUCUAGCAUUUUAUCAACUUGAGAUGUCCCAGUGACUGUCCCCUCGUGGGCCUCAUAGCCCAGGCAGCAUUCAAAAAUCAGCACAUCCCAGAAGUACUCUUUUGGUAACUGACGAGAGCUGAGGCUACAUGCUGAGGUUUUCCAUUCCUGCCAGAAAAGAGUUUUGGACAAGAAGCAGCUCUGAACUGAACCAAAACUGAAUGCCCAAACUACAAUUCUACAGGAUUUCAGGUACUUUUUACUGACUUGUGCACUGUGCUGCAGAGCAUAAAAUUCACCGUGGUUCACAGAGAGCCCUCCUUCAUGAUGGGGUUUGG